rnacentral:rRNA from 1 species
UACGUAGGGGGCAAGCGUUAUCCGGAUUUACUGGGUGUAAAGGGAGCGUAGACGGCUGCGCAAGUCAGAAGUGAAAGCCCGGGGCUCAACCGCGGGACUGCUUUUGAAACUGUGUAGCUAGAGUGCAGGAGAGGUAAGUGGAAUUCCUAGUGUAGCGGUGAAAUGCGUAGAUAUUAGGAGGAACACCGGUGGCGAAGGCGGCUUACUGGACUGUAACUGACGUUGAGGCUCGAAAGCGUGGGGAGCAAACAGG